rnacentral:rRNA from 1 species
GAUGAACGCUUGUGGCGUGCUUAACACAUGCAAGUCAAACGGAAAGGCCCAAACUUGCUUGGGUACUCUAGUGGAGAACGGGUGAGAAACACAUGGGUGAUCUGCCCUGCACUUCCGGAUAAGCCUGGGAAACUGGGUCUAAUACCGGAUAGGACAAUGGUUUGGAUGCCAUUGUGGAAAGUUUUUUCAGUGUGGGAUGAGCUCGCGGCCUAUCAGCUUGUUGGUGGGGUAAUGGCCUACCAAGGCGUCGACAGGUAGCCGGCCUGAGAGGGUGUACGGCCACAUUGGGACUGAGAUACUGCCCAGACUCCUACGGGAGGCAGCAGUGGGGAAUAUGUGCACAAUGGGCGCAAGCCUGAUGCAGCGACGCCUCGUGAGGGAUGACGGCCUUCAGGUUGUAAACUCCUUUCGCUAGGGACGAAGCGUUUUUGUGACCGUACCUGGAGAAUAAGCACCGGCUAACUACGUGCCAGCAGCCGCGCUAAUACGUAUGGUGCGAGCGUUGUCCAGAUUACUGGGCGUCAAGAGCUCGUACGUGGUUUGUCGCGUCAUUUGUGUAAGCCCGCAUCAUAACUGCAGGACUGCAGGCGAUACGGGCAUAACUUGAGUGCUGUAGGGGAGACUGGAAUUCCUGGUGUAGCGGUGGAAUGCUACAUAUAUCAGAGAAGAACACCGAUGGCGAAGGCUCGUCUCUGGGCAGUAACUGACGCUGAGGAGCGAAAGCGUAGGUAGCGAACAAGAUUAUAUACCCUGGUAGUCCAUGCCGUAAACGGUGGGCGCUAGGUGUGAGUCCCUUCCACGGGGUUCGUGCCGUAACUAACGCAUUAAGCGCCCCGCCUGGGGAGUACGGCCGCAAGGCUAACACUCAAAGGAAUUGACGGGGGCCCGCACAAGCGGCGGAGCAUGUGGAUUAAUUCGAUGCAACGCGAACAACCUUACCUGGGCUUGACAUACACCAGAUCGCCGUAGAGAUACGGUUUCCCUUUGUGGUUGGUGUACAGGUGGUGCAUGGUUGUCGUCAGCUCGUGUCGUGAGAUGUUGGGUUAAGUCCCGCAACGAGCGCAACCCUUGUCUUAUGUUGCCAGCACGUGAUGGCGGGGACUCGUGAGAGACUGCCGGGGUUAACUCGGAGGAAGGUGGGGAUGACGUCAAAUCAUCAUGCCCCUUAUGUCCAGGGCUUCACACAUGCUACAAUGGUCGGUACAACGCGCAUGCGAGCCUGUGAGGGUGAGCGAAUCGCUGUAAAGCCGGUGGUAGUUCGGAUUGGGGUCUGCAACUCGACCCCAUGAAGUCGGAGUCGCUAGUAAUCGCAGAUCAGCAACGCUGCGGUGAAUUCUUUUCCCGGCCU